AUCCAGUUGACGAUUCCCAAAUAGGACGAAAUGCGCAUCCUGAAU
rfam:Schistosoma haematobium scaffold650_36, whole genome shotgun sequence.